rnacentral:lncRNA from 1 species
CAGAUAACCAGGAGCAAGAUCUGGAGAAAACACGGCAGUACUCUCAAAAGCUAGGGCUGCUGACUGAGCAACUACAGAGCCUGACUCUCUUUCUACAGACAAAACUAAAGGAGAAGACUGAACAAGAGACCCUUCUGCUGAGUACAGCCUGUCCUCCCACCCAGGAACACCCUCUGCCUAAUGACAGGACCUUCCUGGGAAGCAUCUUGACAGCAGUGGCAGAUGAAGGUUAAAGGCCCUGGGAUUUGGGGGUGGGAAAGUUGUGACGCUGCUCCUGAUAUCUUCUGCUGUUGAAGAUGUCCACCAGCGGGCUUGUCUAUCUUACCCUGGCUUCCAUUAUGGUAGACCCCUGCCUGGAUCAUCAGAGGGGCCCUCUCCCAUUAUUGGUUUUUCUCUUAGAGCCAGAAUCAACUCCUGUGCCCUUGCUUGGAAGUGACAAGAGUGCUUUCACCCGAGUAGCAUCAAUGGUUUCCCUUCAGCCCGCAGAGACCCCAGGCAUGGAGGAGAGCCUGGCAGAAAUGAGUAUUAUGACUACUGAGCUUCAGAGUCUUUGUUCCCUGCUACAAGAGUCUAAAGAAGAAGCCAUCAGGACUCUGCAGCGAAAAAUUUGUGAGCUGCAAGCUAGGCUGCAGGCCCAGGAAGAACAGCAUC